rnacentral:rRNA from 1 species
UACGGAGGGUGCGAGCGUUGUCCGGAAUCAUUGGGCGUAAAGGGCGCGUAGGUGGCCCGGUCAGUCUUUGGUGAAAGCGCGGGGCUCAACCCUGCGUCGGCCAGGGAUACUGCCGCGGCUCGAGCACUGUAGAGGCAGGCGGAAUUCCGGGGUGUAGCGGUGGAAUGCGUAGAGAUCCGGAAGAACACCGGUGGCGAAGGCGGCCUGCUGGGCAGUUUGGCUGACACUGAGGCGCGACAGCGUGGGGAGCAAACAGGG